rnacentral:rRNA from 1 species
UACAGAGGUCUCAAGCGUUGUUCGGAUUCAUUGGGCGUAAAGGGUGCGUAGGCGGCGCGGUAAGUCGGGUGUGAAAUCUCGGAGCUUAACUCCGAAACUGCAUUCGAUACUGCCGUGCUUGAGGACUGGAGAGGAGACUGGAAUUUACGGUGUAGCGGUGAAAUGCGUAGAUAUCGUAAGGAAGACCAGUGGCGAAGGCGGGUCUCUGGGACGGUACUGACGCUGAGACGCGAAAGCUAGGGGAGCGAACAGG